CCGUAGCUACUGCGGAGACAUUACCGAGUUCUCGGGCUUCGGCUCGAAUCUCCCACCCUUUGUGAACAUACCUCUGUUGCUUUGGCGGCUCUUUGCCGCGAGGAGGCCCUCGCGGGCCCCCCCGCGCGCUUUCCGCCAGAGGACCUUCAAACUCCAGUCAGUAAACGUCGACGUCUGAUAAACAAGUUAAUAAACUAAAACUUUCAACAACGGAUCUCUUGGUUCUGGCAUCGAUGAAGAACGCAGCGAAAUGCGAUAAGUAAUGUGAAUUGCAGAAUUCAGUGAAUCAUCGAAUCUUUGAACGCACAUUGCGCCCCUUGGCAUUCCGAGGGGCAUGCCUGUUCGAGCGUCAUUACAACCCUCAAGCUCUGCUUGGUAUUGGGCGCCGUCCUCUCUGCGGACGCGCCUUAAAGACCUCGGCGGUGGCUGUUCAGCCCUCAAGCGUAGUAGAAUACACCUCGCUUUGGAGCGGUUGGCGUCGCCCGCCGGACGAACCUUCUGAACUUUUCUCAAGGUUGACCUCGGAUCAGGUAGGGAUACCCGCUGAACUUAAGCAUAUCAU
rnacentral:rRNA from 1 species